GCAGACACAUUCCAGCCAAUCAGCAGCAGACCCUCCCUCCCAGACCCUCCCAACUCCUGGACAGCAUCCAUUUUACAUUCAUUGUGAAGCUGCAUUCUUAGUGAGCUGUCCAGGAGGUGGGAGGGUCUGGGAGGGAGGGUCUGCUGCUGAUUGGCUGGAAUGUGAGG